rnacentral:lncRNA from 1 species
AAAGAAGUCACGGUCAAGAUGGAGGCCAUUAACUACAGGUUAGAGAACAUGAGUCGCCGACAAGGAAAACUGAAAAGAGGCAGAGAAAGUUCAAGGAGCAUGAGAAGAAGAAAAGCAAGCUGAUUUCCAAGUUGAUGCAAAACCCGAGCACAUUUCCCACCACCUCCAGUUCUGACUGAUCCAAUAUUCAGGGAGUACUUCCCACCAUUUUACUAAAUCAUGUUUAGUUGCAUUGGGGAUAUUGCAAUAUCUUUAGUUGGGGGUGGCUUCUUGUAUAACUGUGGGUAUGGCAGAUUGGUACUAUGUUUGUUUUUAUUUUGUUGUUAGUAUAUUUUAUGUGUUAUAUUAGUAUAUUUAUUAGCUUCUUAAUUAUUUGUUUGGUUACUUGAUGUUUAUUAGUUUCAUAAUUUUUUUUUCAUUAGCUUCUUAAUUUUUUUCUUAUACAUAGUAUGUUUUAUGUUAGUGGCGAUAUCCUAGAUUUUUUUUAUACGACAGUUGUUUUCCCAAAAAUGCCAAUUUUCUUCUUGAAC